GAUCGGAGUGCUUGCACUCUGUGAAACAAGAUACAGGCUAGCGGCGGACGGGUGAGUAACACGUGGGUAACCUGCCCAAGAGAUCGGGAUAACACCUGGAAACAGAUGCUAAUACCGGAUAACAACAGAUGGUGCCUAUCAACUGUUUAAAAGAUGGUUCUGCUAUCACUCUUGGAUGGACCUGCGGUGCAUUAGCUAGUUGGUAGGGUAACGGCCUACCAAGGCGAUGAUGCAUAGCCGAGUUGAGAGACUGAUCGGCCACAUUGGGACUGAGACACGGCCCAAACUCCUACGGGAGGCAGCAGUAGGGAAUCUUCCACAAUGGACGCAAGUCUGAUGGAGCAACGCCGCGUGAGUGAAGAAGGGUUUCGGCUCGUAAAGCUCUGUUGUUGGUGAAGAAGGACAGGGGUAGUAACUGACCUUGGUUUGACGGUAAUCAAUUAGAAAGUCACGGCUAACUACGUGCCAGCAGCCGCGGUAAUACGUAGGUGGCAAGCGUUGUCCGGAUUUAUUGGGCGUAAAGCGAGUGCAGGCGGCUCGAUAAGUCUGAUGUGAAAGCCUUCGGCUCAACCGGAGAAUUGCAUCAGAAACUGUCGAGCUUGAGUACAGAAGAGGAGAGUGGAACUCCAUGUGUAGCGGUGAAAUGCGUAGAUAUAUGGAAGAACACCGGUGGCGAAGGCGGCUCUCUGGUCUGUUACUGACGCUGAGGCUCGAAAGCAUGGGUAGCGAACAGGAUUAGAUACCCUGGUAGUCCAUGCCGUANACGAUGAGUGCUAAGUGUUGGGAGGUUUCCGCCUCUCAGUGCUGCAGCUAACGCAUUAAGCACUCCGC
rnacentral:rRNA from 1 species